rnacentral:rRNA from 2 species
AAUGAGAGUGGCGAACGGGUGAGUAACGCGUGAGCAACCUGCCUAUGACAGUGGGAUAGCCUCGGGAAACCGGGAUUAAUACCGCAUAAAAUCGUAGAAACACAUGUUUUAACGGUCAAAGAUUUAUCGGUCAUAGAUGGGCUCGCGUCUGAUUAGCUAGUUGGUGAGAUAACAGCCCACCAAGGCGACGAUCAGUAGCCGGUCUGAGAGGAUGAACGGCCACAUUGGAACUGAGACACGGUCCAAACUCCUACGGGAGGCAGCAGUGGGGAAUAUUGCACAAUGGGGGAAACCCUGAUGCAGCGACGCCGCGUGAACGAAGAAGGUAUUCGUAUCGUAAAGUUCUGUCCUAUGGGAAGAUAAUGACAGUACCAUAGAAGAAAGCUCCGGCUAAAUACGUGCCAGCAGCCGCGGUAAUACGUAUGGAGCGAGCGUUGUCCGGAAUUAUUGGGCGUAAAGGGUACGCAGGCGGUUUAAUAAGUCGAAUGUUAAAGAUCGGGGCUCAACCCCGUAAAGCAUUGGAAACUGAUAAACUUGAGUAGUGGAGAGGAAAGUGGAAU